GGAAUAUACAGAACUUAGAAUAAACAUAUAGCAAUACAACUAGCAGGUGGGACCUAGCUGUAAUUUUUCCACAUCACUACAACAGAAAAUUAACAGCACUUCUCUCAGUUGCUUUCAGACAUGAAGCUUCAAUUAAGUGAAAGCAGCAGCUUCUCCUCUCUGACAGCACUGAUGACAUGAUGUCUCCAGGUGAUGCCAGGAAGAAAAAAGUUUUCUGCAGUUGAUAAUAACUUUGCUCAUUACCUGAACAGCAUUCGGGACAUGCAGCUAAAAAUCCCAAUUAAACUUCUCAAUAAAACCCCAAAAGUUCAGUAAGCUUAAAAAGGUGGAAGAAUAUUUCAUCUUUUUGAAAACAAAUGCAAUACAAAUGCAAUGCCCUGCAAAGUAUUCACACCCCCUUGAGUUUCUGUAGACAUUUUGAUGUUACAACUGACAAAAUCAAUUUCAUUAGGAUUUUACAGAACACAAAGCUGUAAAUAAUUAUGAUGGCCUAGUUAAAUACAUGUCUUUCCAGAUAUUUUUAUUUAAAAAAUCUAAAGUGUUUUUGCAUUUAACUCCAUUUUAGCUGAUACGUUGCUUGUGGAGCCAGUUUUGGUGCAGUUGACCCUCCAACCCAGAACCAAAUGUUGUUAACUUUAACACAUUUUUUCAGGAUGUCCUGCUUUAUUUCUAUCCAUCUUUUCAUCAACAAUGACCAGCCACGAUGUGUCUCAUAUUACACCAAACAUAAUGUAACUGAUCAUUUUUCUUAUGGUUCACAGCUUCAGAUGUACAAUAUUUAAUAUGGUAAUAAUGACAUUUUAUUCAUACCACACGCUACAAAAUGACAAUAAAAGAAUUAACCAAGGUAACAAAUAAAAAUAAAAACUCCUAAAAUAUCAGUAAUGUCUUAAGAACAAUGCUUUCAGUUCAUUUUGAUAAUCUGCUUCAACCAUCUAGGUAAAUCAUCUAAUGUUCUCUAGCAGCAAUGCAAAAACACUAAAUUAAGUAUUUUUCUCUAGUUUAGUGUCAGUAUCUUAGAACAUUUGGAAAAAAACUAAAUCAAUUUACAAGAAAAUGUUCAACAUAAUACAGGAACUUUUUUUGAGUCAAAGUUCCUUAAAAUUGGUUUAAAAAAACAUAGUUUUCAUUGGCAGAUAUUGUUGUGGAGCGGGGUGGUUCCUGGGUUUCUUUGUGGGUUUUGUUUUCUUUUGUUUACUCAACCUUCAGCCACUAGAUGGCGUCAGAUUCGCCUUCUCUCUGGAGACUGGUGGAUUUUCCUCCACACCGGGUUUUCAUCAUCUCAUCAGGCCGAGAGUACAAGAGGAGCGACCUGCCAGUACUUCGUCGCCAGAGUGUUUGCCAGCAAUGGUGCUCCCUUUCGAGACGCCGUGGAUCUCCCAGUGACGAUCUAGUCUGGUUUUCCUUCCGGAUUCUUUCCCUCGUGACGCCGUGGACAGUACCCACUGGUUGCCCGACUCCCGUCUGCAAAACCUCCCCGUUGGAUCUCAAGUCUUCCCUGGUUUGCCUCCGACUGGUAGCCGAACCGCUCCCUUGUCGCCGGCCUGCCUGAAUUUACCUGCCAGCUCUCCACCGCUCCUUCACGGAACUACUCGAUUAUUAUCUGCCCAGAACCUGGAACUUGGACUCACAAAGAGAUAAAGGAACCCGAACCCACGGACUACUCCUCCCGGACCGAAUAUUCUCACCCAUACAAAGCUUCGACCGCUCCAAGAGACUUUCCCCCCCUACCCAGACCGAUCCCAGCAGAUUACUCGCUCUGCCUGUUAUUAGCGACACAGGAUGACCUAACCCACUCGACAUACACUUGUCAAGCAGCUGCAGCCAAACGCAUCUCAUUACCGUAGCACCACUUGAUGUGUGCGGCACAGCAGGUAUGGUGAAACAGGACUCCAGGUGAGCCUGACAUCUGUCAAACAUCUGUUUGACUGACCCGGUGCUACAUGACGUCCGCUGUGAUCUAAUGCAGCUCUGCAAAUCCAGCAGAGAAAACAGCUUAAUGUUGUGAGCUCUGCAUGUUUUAAAGGAAUCCUUUUUUAAAGUGGCAGUAUUAUGUAUUAUGUUACCUUCAUUUGUUAUAAAACUGCUCUAUGUAUCAAAUAUGACUUAAAAGAAAUUCAACUUUGUAAUUUGACACCUUGAAAUUGAGAAUCUGCAAAUCUCCAGGGAUUGUUGGAUGGCAAACAACCAGGGAGGGAGAGAGGGAGGGAGGAUGGAUGGAUGGAUACUGUCUACCAAACAGGUCACCAUCUGCAUGAUUGACUUCGUUUGACCUUUGUUUGACCUCUGUUUGGCCUUGCAGCUGCUCUGUCCUGCCUGCAGCCAGAGCAGGCUCCUGUAUGGAACAGAGGACUUCCAUACAGACGCGCGAGAGUUUGAGGCGAGCCGUGAAUGAGACAGUAACUGAAGAGGAAUCAGAUGAACUAGUCUACUUAUGAAGAGAAACGGCGUUGGUCAAUAAUUUGGCAAUGGUUCAGAUUUUAUAUGGAGGAUGUCGAACAAAAUGAGGUAAUUUGCGAAACAUGUUUAUAAAACUAUUGCCACAAAAGAUUGUACCACAAAUUUAUUUCACCACCUAUGAGAGUAUUCUUUUACAUGCCGUUCAUAGCCGCGCUGCCGUGGUAGAACUAGUCUGGUAAAGUGAAACCUGGAGACGUAGGUAGGAUUCAUUUAGUGCUAUGCAAAGGGAACAAUACCUCAAAACUACUCGUUCAUUUUUUUUCUCGCUCUCUGUCGGUUUUACAAAGACAAAGACAAAGACUUGCUGCCAUAGCAACUGGCAACAAUGCAACUUUAUGUAUCAGGAUUCAGCACCAAUAACACUCAAACAUUAACCCCACAUAGAGCAGAACAUUCAGAUCUUUACAGUUUUAUAUUUUUAGGCUUGUUGUGUAUUUUGCGAUUAUUAAUAAGUGAUUGCUGUAGUUGAUUAGUGACCGCUGCUAUUAGCCACGCUAAGACAACGGUGGUUGUUUAAAUUUUCUAAUUUAAACACCUGCUUUACUGAUGAUCUGUCAGUUUUUGUGUUGGUCGCCGUUUUUAUUUAUAAGCUGAACCAAAACACAUCUUAUUCCACAGCACAUCUAUUUGAUAAGUUUGUCAAAGUCAAGCACAACUGACCUUCUUCCCUCUCCCUCGUUAUUGUUUUUUUAUUAGUUAAAACUUAUUUCUGACCUUGUUAUCUAGUCUUAGUGUAGACAGUUCAUAGCAAAACACUGCAUCCCUUUUAUAUGAGCUUACAUUUAAGUCUAGCAGGGAAAUGGUGGCAGGAACUUGCGUGGGUGACAUGCUGCAAGGAAUCUAGUUUAAAAUAACAUUGGAGCUCAUUUAAGAAUAUUGUGAUAUAUAUCUUGUAUUGUGAUAGCAAAAAUAUAUCAGGAUAUUUGAUUUUCCUCCUAUCCCCCAGCCGUAGAUGAGAGUAACUAAAAAAGUUACUUUUAAUGUAACUAAGUUACGUUUCAAGGAGUAAACAGUAAUCCGAUCAAACUUACUUUUUCAAAGAUAAACUCUGUCUGGUUUGUGGAAAACAGUGGGAUUGUGUGAGUCUGUCAUCAGUGAAAGCCGAUUGUAAAGCUGGAGUGAUUCACUUUCAGAAUGUAGCAACACAACCUGGAGACAUAUUUCUUGAAAUGCCAUUUGUCAUUUCCUUCGACAGCUCAUGUAGCGCAGCCCGGCAACGGCACAGAUUGUUGCAGGAUAAAUUGGAUUAUUCAAACAAAUCACUGUCACACUGUAAUUAUGAUUUUACAGUGUAUGCAAAGCAUACACUGUAAAAAAAGGUGUAUGUAAAACAGACAAUUCAAACCAAGCUGAGCUCAGACAUACACACAGCAAACUGAAGAAGGAACAAAUUCACUGUUUUACUCUCAAAUUAUUGUUCUGUUAGCAUGUGCUCUGCUGUGUUUAGUAAAAAAAAAUAUUCCUUUAUAGACAUGCACUGAAAAAAUUACUAGCUGUCCAGAUAUUCAAAAGUCUAAUAAUUUUCCCAUCAGUGAACUGACUAUAACUAAACACUACCAGGUCAUGACAACGACAACACUAUUUAGUGGAGAAGUUUUUACAGCAAGAAAUGAAAAUUAUUUUCAAACUUGAGGUUCUUUUAAAUUUCUUUAGAGAAGCACAGAGUCUAAGAUUGAAGCAUACUUCCAUUAUAAAACCCCAAACAGAGAGAUUUAAAGAAAGUCUUUAAUUCUGAGACUGACUUUUAAUUCCAAAUAAAUAAAAAUAAUUGCAGACAUUUAGAAAUCAUCUUGCUUAACAAUGGGAUAUGUGAUCUUCAGAGGACUACAUUCUCUCUACAUUUGCUCAAACUUCAGAGGUUGCUGCUGUACUUUGACUGCACCACUGAGCUGGAAUGGUGCAGCUCAGUGGUGCACCUUUGAGCUGGUGUCCCAAACUUGACAUUGGGAAUGUGAAGUUUGACAUUCUCAAACUGUCACUGAAUAAACCACUGAUGCUGAGAGCGACUGACUUGUUAUUUAUCGAGACCAGUGCAAGCCUAAAAUUAUGUACAGAUGAAAGCAGAUCUGCUUUGAUUUUCUGUCCUUGCCAACAUGACAGAUGACCUACGACGAUGGUGGAGGCAGAGCAGCCUCCCAACCAGGAAUUUACAUUGGCUGUGACCUCCGGGUUAUUGCAGCUGACAGUGUUUUUAUGAUAGUGUUUAAAAAGUGAUAAAAUCCUUAGAAGAAAUGUAGUGUUGAGAACAGUUUUACAACUUCACAGAUCUGAACCAUUGGCAAUGGUUCAGAUCCUUUGACAUUCAAAGGAAGAGUUUAGUCGGAUUUAAAGAUGGAAUGUACAUAUAAUCUUGCCAUUAAGAUUUGCCAAAGAGCUGAGAAUACAAGUGUGAUGGCUGCAUUUAAAUGUGGUAACACUACACACAAUAUUUUAGACAAUCUCACCAUACUUCUAUAUUGUUUCUUUAAAUCUAGGAUUUAAUUUGCAGAAUAACUGUUUUUUGUUUAGAAUGUAACACAUCAUAACACUGUGUUCUAGAAUAAAAGCACGCAUUUUAGUUUACACUGUUAUGUUUUGCUUGAUUUAACCUUUGUUUGUUUUAAUUUACCUCAGUGUCGGCUGCUCCAGUCCUUCAGGGAACAGAGAGGCGGAGAAGGGGUGGAGCAAGCCUACCGAGACUGCAAAUUGGUUAAUACCACUACUCAUCAUCAAGAGGGGCGGAAUGGGAUUUUCCUAUGUUGACUUCAGUUAGGUUUUUGUGUGCGUUUGUAGCCGAGUUAAUUUUAUUUAUUUAUUAUUUUAUGAACCUUCCCAAAACAUUUUUAUUUCUAUUUUGUCGAAUUAACAUGUCUGCUGACAUGGCUAUUUCUGUUUUGACUGCUUUUAUUUUUGGUUCCUAAUGUAAAUAUUGUUUUUGGGGAAACGUUAUUAGUGUUGCACAAAGCAAUGUUCAGUGACGUAGCUGCAGCAGCCAGGCAGAAGCUGCCUAACUGAGCUGCUGGUAAGACGCGCGCUAAAGCUACCUCUCACUUUUAAUAAUGUUUAUAUUGUACAAAAUAGUUUUCACAGCUUUUGUUCUGCAAAAAUAUAAUGUUAACUGUGCAAGUGUUUUUAAGACAAACUUUGGUGUUGGUUAAAGUUAAUGUAUUACGUUUAUUAAGUUUGUAUAAAGUUUCCCUCCAAAAUGUGUUUGUUGGGCCGCAGGACUGUGACGGUGAUUGUGUAUCAUACCUGGUGCUGAGUGUGUUCCACUGUUUUAUAGGUAUGUAAUGGAUACACAGAUUUAUUUUGUGGUUUGAUGUUGAUUUGUGCAAGAUUUUACUUUUCUUUAGUCCAUUUGUUGUUAAUCUAUUAAAAAAAGAAGCUGCCUAACUGAGCUGCUGGACUGUGACGGUGAUCGUGUAUCAUACCUGGUGCUGAGUGUGUUCCACUGUUUUAUAGGAAUAAAAAAAAAAAACAA